GAGUUUGAUCCUGGCUCAGGACGAACGCUGGCGGCAUGCCUAAUACAUGCAAGUCGAACGCUUCUUCUAUUGAGUGCUUGCACUCGAUAGAAGAGGAGUGGCGGACGGGUGAGUAACACGUGGGUAACCUGCCCAUAAGUGGGGGAUAACAUUCGGAAACGGAUGCUAAUACCGCAUAAUUCUGAUUGCCGCAUGGCAGACAAAUGAAAGGUGGCUUCGGCUACCGCUUAUGGAUGGACCCGCGGCGUAUUAGCUAGUUGGUGAGGUAAUGGCUCACCAAGGCAAUGAUACGUAGCCGACCUGAGAGGGUGAUCGGCCACACUGGGACUGAGACACGGCCCAGACUCCUACGGGAGGCAGCAGUAGGGAAUCUUCCGCAAUGGACGAAAGUCUGACGGAGCAAUGCCGCGUGAGUGAAGAAGGUUUUCGGAUCGUAAAACUCUGUUGUUAGAGAAGAACAAGGAUGAGAGUAACUGCUCAUCCCCUGACGGUAUC
rnacentral:rRNA from 1 species